GAUGAAGAACGUAGCGAAAUGCGAUACUUGGUGUGAAUUGCAGAAUCCCGUGAACCAUCGAGUCUUUGAACGCAAGUUGCGCCCGAAGCCAUCAGGUUGAGGGCAAGUCUGCCUGGGCGUCACAUAUCGUUGCCCAAUGCCUAUUGCAGUGCAAUAGGAAUUUCUAGGGCGAAUGAUGGCUUCCCGUGAGCGUUGUUGCCUCGCGGUUGGUUGAAAAUCGAGUCCUUGGUAGGGUGUGCCAUGGUAGAUGGUGGUCGAGUUAGAACGAUACCGAUCAUGUGCAUGCUCCCCAAAAUAUGGCCUCUAUGACCCACACGCGUCUUUUGACGCUCAUGACGAGACCUCAGGUCAGGCGGGGCUACCCGCUGAAUUUAAGCAUAUCAAUAAGCGGAGGA
rnacentral:misc_RNA from 1 species